UACAGAGGGGGCAAGCGUUGUUCGGAAUUACUGGGCGUAAAGGGCGCGUAGGCGGCCGCCUAAGUCAGACGUGAAAUCCCUCGGCUCAACCGGGGAACUGCGUCUGAUACUGGGUGGCUUGAAUCCGGGAGAGGGAUGCGGAAUUCCAGGUGUAGCGGUGAAAUGCGUAGAGAUGUGGAGGAACACCGAUGGCGAAGGCAGCCCCCUGGGUCAACACUGACGCUCAUGCACGAAAGCGUGGGGAGCAAACAGG
rnacentral:rRNA from 1 species